AUUCCGGUUGAUCCUGCCGGAGGACAUUGCUAUUGGGAUUCGAUUUAGCCAUGCUAUUCGGGCGAGUUCAGACUCGCGGCGAAUAGCUCAGUAACACGUGGCCAAGCUCCCCUUCAGUCAGCGAUACCCUCGGGAAACUGAGGUUAACAGCUGAUACAAAACGCCAGCUGGAAUGCGGCGUUUCAGAAAGACAUCGCUGAAGGAUGCGGCUGCGGCCGAUUAGGUAGACGGUGGGGUAACGGCCCACCGUGCCAGUAAUCGGUACGGGUGAUGAGAGUCAGAGCCCGGAGACGGAAUCUGAGACAAGAUUCCGGGCCCUACGGGGCGCAGCAGGCGCGAAACCUUUACACUGCACGGAAGUGCGAUAGGGGAAUCCCAAGUGCGAGGGCAUAUUAGCCCUCGCUUUUCUCGACUGUAAGGUGGUCGACGAAUAAGAGCUGGGCAAGACCGGUGCCAGCCGCCGCGGUAAUACCGGCAGCUCAAGUGAUGUCCCAUAUUAUUGGGCCUAAAGCGUCCGUAGCU
rnacentral:rRNA from 1 species